GCCUGGGUGGCGAAAUUGGUAGACGCACAGGACUUAAAAUCCUGGGCUUCCGAAAGGGGCGUGCGGGUUCGAUUCCCGCCCUAGGCA
rnacentral:tRNA from 1 species